rnacentral:lncRNA from 13 species
AGUUCAGUUUGGCUCUUUCUUAAGAUUGUUAUUUUGCAGCCUGGGCAACACAGAAAAACUCUUUACGAAAAAUACAAAAAGUUAGCCAGGUGCCCUCAUGUGUACCUGCAGUCUAGCUACUCUGGAGGGUGAGAUCACCUGAGCUCAGCAGGUUGAGGCUGCAGUGAACCCUGAUUUUGUGACUGCACUCCAGCCUGGGUGACAGAGUGAGACCCUGUCUCAAAGAAAAAAUUAAAAAAUGAUGGCUAUUUUGUCUUUCAGCUGUUGGAUUAUCUCACUGGAUUCUGUGGAUUCCUUUGAUUGUGUUUCAACUUUCUCCUGCAUGCUGAUGACUUUCCCUGCCAUCCAGCUUUUGAAAUCUAUGCCUGCCAUUUCAGCCACGUUAGAAUGGUUAAGAACCAUUGCUGGGGAGCUAGUGGACUCAUCUGGAGCAAUCUUAUUUCCUCUUGCUCUUCGGCACAGUCUCUGCUACUUCCAAGCCAUCUGGUUGUUAUUGGCAGGAACUACUUUCCCACCUAUGCAGAUGUCACCUUUGAAUUACUGGGAGCCCAUUGUUUCCUCCGGCAGUCCAUUUCAUCUUCAGGCUUCUUCUCCUGACCUCCUUCUACUCCACACAAGAGAUGCUAUAACCAAGUUUGAUAACUGACCAUGGAGAACAGAGGUUGCUUUACAUUUGUUGCAAGUAAUAUGGAAAAUAUCCAGGGGCAGCAAGGUACGGUCACGAUCAGUUAAAGUCUGGUAUAAAGAUAAACAUUGUGAUGGACUUCUCACUAAGGCUGUUCGCUUUCUAUAUGAUCAAUAAACACUGACUGACUUGUAGGAUGGUUGUUUAG